AGACCGCGAGGUGGAGCAAAACCCUAAAAAAUGGUCUCAGUUCGGAUUGCAGGCUGCAACCCGCCUGCAUGAAGUUGGAAUUGCUAGUAAUCGCGGAUCAGCAUGCCGCGGUGAAUACGUUCCCUGGCCUUGUACACACCGCCCGUCACACCAUGGGAGCCGGUAAUACCCGAAGUCAGUAGCCUAACCGCAAGGGGGGCGCUGCCGAAGGUAGGAUUGGCGACUGGGGUGAAGUCGUAACAAGGUACC
rnacentral:rRNA from 1 species